rnacentral:rRNA from 1 species
AUGAACGCUGGCGGCGUGCCUAAUACAUGCAAGUCGAGCGAACGGACGAGAAGCUUGCUUCUCUGAUGUUAGCGGCGGACGGGUGAGUAACACGUGGAUAACCUACCUAUAAGACUGGGAUAACUUCGGGAAACCGUAGCUAAUACCGGAUAAUAUUUUGAACCGCAUGGUUCAAAAGUGAAAGACGGUCUUGCUGUCACUUAUAGAUGGAUCCGCGCUGCAUUAGCUAGUUGGUAAGGUAACGGCUUACCAAGGCAACGAUGCAUAGCCGACCUGAGAGGGUGAUCGGCCACUCUGGAACUGAGACACGGUCCAGACUCCUACGGGAGGCAGCAGUAGGGAAUCUUCCGCAAUGGGCGAAAGCCUGACGGAGCAACGCCGCGUGAGUGAUGAAGGUCUUCGGAUCGUAAAACUCUGUUAUUAGGGAAGAACAUAUGUGUAAGUAACUGUGCACAUCUUGACGGUACCUAAUCAGAAAGCCACGGCUAACUACGUG